UAUUAUUUCCAGAAGGAUCUGUGUGUUUUAAUUCUGAAUACCAUUAAAAAUAGAAAACAGAUAUUUUAUACCAUUUUUCCUGUUUACAGCAGCAUUUAUGUCCAAAAGUUUGUCCUUCUUGAAUCUUAUAUUCAUUGUCUUUAAUGAUGCAGAAUGUUUUCCUUUUUGGCUGUACAUGUACUCUGUUUUUCAUUUUUGAGCAUGUGGAAAUCUAAGACUGUCUUCACCAUAAAGAGAAGGUGCCUUUUUUUCAUUCCUUUUACUAUCUGUGCUGGAAUUUUCCUCUACUCUUAACCACUUGAAGUACUAAUUGAUGUGUAAAGUGUCUAACCCCAUUUCUGGAAUACAGCUUCUUGUGUAUACUAAGUAAGCCUCUUUGUAUGAUAUGGCACCUCCUUAACUUCUCCCUGGUAUGAAUAGAUUGUUUUUUCCAUAAGAGUUUUAAGCAGUCUGAAUUUGCUAUUUUAUGUUUUAUAAUGUGCUUACUAGAAGGAACAGUAAAAUUACCACCCCUAACUACACUAUUCAACUCCUGUAACUUUUACCAUUUGACUUGAGUCUUCAUCCACAUGAAAGGACUGAGAAUUGCAGUCCUAAAAAAGUUAAUGAAAAGAAUGGGGGUAUGAACUUGCUCUAGCUAUGCUAGAAAUCACUUUUACACAGUCUCUGCUCUCCCCUCAGGCAGUCAGUGGUCCAGGCCUGUGAUUUCUGCUUCCUGUAAGCACUUAAUUGGAUUCUUCUCAGAAAGAUGUCCAGAAAUUGCUGGCAAAAAUCUAUGUCUGCUCUCUCUCAAUACCAAUGCACCUACAUGUGGCUGUCUCCAGGUAAUAACAAUGCAUCUUUGCCUUCUACUCUCCGAAUAAUUUGCAAAUAUCCCUCUUUGUCAAAAUACAACUGAGGUUCCACUGGCAAGGGGAUUUAUAAAUUGCAGUUUUCAGGUUUUGUGCCCCCUUCCACAUUGUUGGAGAGACCUCAAGAAACCUACAAUCAUGGCAGAAGGCAAAAGAGAAACAGGCACCUUCUUCACAGGGCAGCAGGACAGAGUGAAUACAAGCAGGGGAAAUGCCACAUGCUUAUAAAACCAUCCUAUCUCAUGAGACUCACUCACUAUCACGAGAACAGCCCAGGGGAAACUACCCCCAAGAUUCAAUUACCUCCACCUGGUCCCACCCUUGACAUGUGGGGAUUAUGGGGAUUACAAUUCAAGAUGAGAUUUUGGGUGGGGACACAGCCAAACAUAUCACUCCUGUUUCUGAAAUGAGGCAUAAGACUAUAGUUGGCAUUUAUAAUAUCCUUCCUCUAAUAAACAUUUCUUCUUCCCUUUGCCCUUAGCUAGAAACUAAGCUGGUUGUGGUGGUUUAUCUUGAUAAGGUAACUCAAAAUUCAUUUGUAAAAUAUCUGAUCAACUAGAAGUCUUUCUUCUACAUCACACUGAAGAAAUUCUGGUAUAUCAGCUUACUUUAAUAAUGUACCACUGGCAAUACAUUAACCAACCAAGCAAAUUGUGAAUGCUAUUCUCAGCUGCUCAAGCAUAUCUAUUACAUUCUGACUCUCUAGGAAAUGUUCUUUCUCAUAACUAAUAAAUUUGUAAAGGAAUUUCUUUUACCUUGAUCUAAUACCUUUAAAAUCCGUCUCUUCCCAAGGUUUAUGUAAAUAGAUAUUGAAAAAUCUUUCAAUUUAUGCACCUCCUCCUGGGACAUACUUAAACUUGCCCUCUUGAGUUGGCUAGAAUUUGACUCUAUAGUUAAAAGGAAUUAGCUUCCUUAUGAGGCAGUUCACUCAGAUGAGAUAAUUAUAGGGUCCUCAGAAGGUGAAGUCAGUGAAAGAAAGCAUACUUAUUAUGUCAGGGCAGUCUCAGUAAGAUUUUAGACUGUAAAGUGUUCAUAUUAAUGAGAAUCUGAUCAACUGUUUUAAUUUCAACACUGAGGGAACCAUUCUUUCUUAAUUAAUGUCUCAACAUUAAUGAUACAUGCUUAAUGAGGCUGUGAAUUUAGCCUACGUUGUAAUUCAGCAACUCACAGGAUCAACUUUUGUGUCUGGUUUUCAGAAACACUUGCCUGCUACUACAUGAGGAAAGUGAUUAUUUCAGGGCAGUCUUAGGAACUCUCUGGUUGUCAGGCCAUACCUUCACCUGAGAACUUCAGCUCUAGACUUAAAUUUCUUCUACAAACUUUCCAUUACAGUGUGACUCAGCAAUCCUGUAUCUACAAUCCUUAUUUUCAUUAUUUCCAUCAUAAUGUUCUAUUGCAGCAGUCUUUCAACACCAUUUUAAUUACCAGUUUAUAUCAAACAAUGGCCAGUCUAAAUUUAAACUUUUGUUUUUGCCACCACAUACCAAUGUUUCACAUCUACUGAUAAUGAGGUCAUUGCUACUUUCAAAUAUAACUAGGUCAGAUAACUAGCCCCAGAUUCUUAUAUCUAUAGUUGUUUCUUUCAAAUAAUUUCUGGUAGCAAGUGUUGAUUGGGUUGGGUUCAGUUUUGAAACUAAAGUCAUUUUAGUUAUAUAGAAUGAAAUGAUGUUUAGUACAGGGUGUAAGAAGCUUCUAGACAGUUUGUAGCCUGGGAAGCAAAUGUGAGGAAGACCAUUUAAAAAAAAUUUGGUUGUUUUUAGGUAAUAGAAAAAUUGUCAGCAAUGGUCAUAGCUUCCAUCAACAAUGAAGCUAUUACUUCUCAAGAGACACCCAAAACCUUCAAAAGAAAGAAAGAAAAAAAAGAACACUAUCCAUUUCUGUUUAUUGCUGCCAAUUUUUUUUUUUGGUCUUCUAUCUUCCACAAAUAGUCCUAGUGCUUCUCCUGGUGAAAUAUAUCGGGACUCUAGUCACAGGAGAGUCUAGGAAAGUGUAGCUUCAAGCUUUUACAUUCUUGUGAGCCAAAGAUGAUCUAUGAAAGAUGAAGAUAGUACUGAGUAUUAACAAGCAAUAUGCAGAGUAUCAGAAAUGUUCUGUUUUUCCUUGUACCUAUAAAAAUAACAUAGAAGACAUCAUUAUUGAUAGAACAUUGAAAGCCUUAGCUCUAAGUUCAACAACAACAAAAAGAUGCAAGCAAUCAUCAUGCCCAUUCAUCAUUUUACUAAGUUCUAGCUAGAAAACAAAGCAAGAAAAAAUAUCAAUUUUUUGCCUACAAAAAAGGAAAGGAAGAAACUUAUGCAUGCUUUAAUAGACUAUAUGUGUCUGUAAAUAAUACAAAAUAAUUUAUAGUUAAAUGCUUAAAAUUCUUUUAGUGCUUAGCAAGGUAGAGGAUACAAAACAA
rnacentral:lncRNA from 1 species